AUGCGAAAACUGGAGCUCAUGACUAUUGUGCCUGUCAUUGCAAAAGCUGAUACUCUCACCCUGAAGGAACGGGAGUGGCUGAAGAAAAGGAUUCUGGAUGAAAUUGAAGAAUGUAACAUCAAAAUCUAUCACUUACCUGAUGCAGAAUCAGAUAAAGUUGAAGAUUUUAAAGAGCAGACUAGACUUCUCAAGGCUAGCAUCUCAUUCUCUGUGGUUGGAUCCAAUCAGUUGAUUGAAGCCAAAGGAAAGAAGGUCAGAGGCCACCUCUAACCCUGGGGUGUUGUGGAGGUGGAGAACCCAGAGCACAAUGACUUUCUGAAGCUGAGAACCAUGCUCAUCACCCACAUGCAGGAUCUCCAGGAGGUGACCCAGGACCUUCAUUAUGAAAACUUCCGUUCUGAGAGACUCAAGAGAGGCGGCAGGAAAUUGGAGAAUGAGGACAUGAAUAAAGACCAGAUUUUGCUGGAAAAAGAAGCUGAGCUCUGCCCUAUGCAAGAGAUGAUCGCAAGGAUGCAGGCACAGAUGCAGAUGCAGAUGCAGGGCGGGGAUGGUGAUGGCGGGGCUCUUGGGCACCACGUGUAAGGUGAUGUGCACAUAUCAAAAAGUCAGAGAAAACACUUUUCCUGGAUAAAAAAGAAAACAUUCCAGAUGCAUGAUCCAGCUGUGUGUUUUCAAUCCUUGGGAGGGUGCCAUCCACGUUUUAACAGUACCUG